AUUAAGUUGAAAGGUAUUAUCGCUACCAUCUGCCAUUGAUGAGACUCUUUAAAGCCUUCUACAGAAGAGUAAUAAAUUGGACGCAAUUAGGCGGCAACGAAAUCGCGUUUCUACAUUCUCCUGAAAAAGGUGUUGAAGUUAUAUAGAAAAAGAUGACCCAGAAAUCUUUUGGUUAACAAAAUGCUACGACAUGACAGGGACAGGUUUCAAUUCCCAUUUUG
rnacentral:misc_RNA from 1 species